CCUAGAGUAUGGGAGGGGGAGAUGGAAUUAGUGGUGUAGGGGUAAAAUCCGUAGAUAUCACUAGGAAUACCGAAAGCGAAGGCGAUCUCCUGGAACAAUACUGACGCUAAGGCGUGAAAGCGUGGGGAGCAAACGGGAUUAGAUACCCCGGUAGUCCACGCCCUAAACGAUGUUCACUAGUCGUCGGAAUGCUAGUCAUUUCGGUGAUGCACUUAACAGAUUAAGUGAACCGCCUGGGGAGUACGGUCGCAAGAUUAAAACUCAAAGGAAUAGACGGGGACCCGCACAAGUGGUGGAGCAUGUGGUUUAAUUCGAAGAUACGCGAAGAACCUUACCUAGCCUUGACAUUGAUUGAACUCAGUAGAGAUACAGAGGUGCCCUUCGGGGAACAUGAAAACAGGUGCUGCACGGCUGUCGUCAGCUCGUGUCGUGAGAUGUUGGGUUAAGUCCCGCAACGAGCGCAACCCUCGUCCUUAGUUGCCAGCAGGUUAAGCUGGGCACUUUAAGGAGACUGCCUUCGCAAGGAGGAGGAAGGUGAGGACGACGUCAAGUCAUCAUGGCCCUUAUGGCUAGGGCUACACACGUGCUACAAUGGGGCGUACAGAGAGUUGCGAUACCGCGAGGUGGAGCCAAUCUCAUAAAGCGUCUCUCAGUUCGGAUUGAAGUCUGCAACUCGACUUCAUGAAGCUGGAAUCACUAGUAAUCGUAGAUCAGCAAUGCUACGGUGAAUACGUUCCCGGGUCUUGUACUCACCGCCCGUCACAUCAUGGGAGUUGAUUUCACCCGAAAUUGGGAAGCUAACCUUCGGGAGGCUACCACUUAC
rnacentral:rRNA from 1 species